UGUUAAGUGACCGAGAUGAAGCCUGCCUUUCAAACACAGGCUGUGUCCCGAUCAGGCCGAGUACCCUUUGGAGAAGUUCUGCUCCAGAUGCCUCAGCUCAGGGUGGCUGCUGUUACCAAGGAGUACCGAGAUGCUCCGGCCUUAUCCAUGUACCACAGGGGACCCACAGUGCAUUCCAGGAGCCAAAUGCAUGACUCAGAUCUCUGUUCCUCCAGCGACUUGAACUGCACACUGCUUGUAGCUCUGCAUAACCAAACCUGUGACGGACCCAGCAAAACCUCUCCUGUUCAGUGGCGGAGGAAGCACAAGCACACGUAGCUCUGCACGGCUACCCCGCAGAGAACCUGGCCCUGAUUCUGCUGUCAUGCUGGUGCAGAAGAGCAAUUCAACUGGUGUCAGAGGAUUUCCAUUGACAUAAAUCUAGUGUUUUUCCUCCCCCUCACGGUUUCUGCCAAAAGCUCUGGAUCGCUGUGGUCAAUGGCAUCUCCGAAGGACACAUGGGCUGACAGACAGUUCACUGAACACAGCGAGAGGAAAGCCCCAGCCAGGAGCACCAAAGCCGUGCAAAGCAAAGCUC